UAAUUGAAGAGUUUGAUCAUGGCUCAGAUUGAACGCUGGCGGCAGGCCUAACACAUGCAAGUCGGGCGGUAACAGGGAGAAGCUUGCUUCUCCGCUGACGAGCGGCGGACGGGUGAGUAAUGUAUGGGGAUCUGCCUGAUGGCGGGGGAUAACUA
rnacentral:rRNA from 1 species